GGGACUUUUUUUGUUGGUUUAUCUCACCUUGAGAACUACAAGUGAUAAUUCUCUUAGAGAAAACAAAUGGAUGGGGGAAAAAGAUACUGUUAUAUGUUAUAUUUUUGCCAAGUCCUCUUUGCAAAGUGUGUUGAAGAUAAUUUUUCUUUUAUUUAUACAUAGUAGCAUAAAAAUAACUCAAAAGUUUGCUAAUUGAACUCCCCAAAACUUUUGUCCUUGUAUGAAUGAUAGAUUGAAAAGCUUUCACUGGUUUCUUCACAUAAGUUCUCUGAAACUCUUGUUUUUAUUGCUGCCUAACUUCAUGUGCAAUCCGAACUGAUAGGAGAUUUAAAACAUGGCAUUGUUAAGUUGAUUGUAUGGUCAUGUAUUUUGCUGUUAAUUCUCUGACCGAUAAGACACUUCUCUUGAUAUGACCUGAACGAAGGUUCAGUGUGUCAAAUGGGAUCAUGUGUAAUUUAGGUGUUUCCUCAUUUUAAUACAAUGAUGUUAGAAUAAGUGAUGAGUUUUAUUUUUGGCUAUACUGUCCCCCGUUUAAACUCCUGUUAAACUUUUCCCCUUUUCAAUUCAAUUCUGCUAAGCAAUUGUUUAUUGCAUUCUGUUCUGUUGGUUAUUUAUUGCUUUUCUGGCAUCUGCAGG
rnacentral:misc_RNA from 1 species